CCUCAUCACAAACAUGAGUGUGAUCUGCGUCCUCAUCUGGACUCUCCUCUGCUGCUGCUUCACAGAGUCCAGAGGCCAGGUCACAGUGACUCAGUCUGCAGCAGUCAGCUCUGCUGUGGGACAAACCGUCACCAUCACAUGUAGGACCAGUCAGAAUGUUUAUGUCUAUGACAACACUAAGCACGAUUUAGCCUGGUACCAACAGAGAGAUGGACAACCUCCUAAAAGGCUCAUUUACUGGAGCAACUAUCGAGAUUCAGGGAUUCCGGAUCGUUUUACAGGCAGUGGAUCAAACUCUGACUUCACUCUGACCAUCAGUGGAGUUCAAGCUGAAGAUGCUGCAGUUUAUUACUGUCAGAGUUAUCAUUAUAUCAACAGUCAGUGGGUGUUCACACAGUGA